rnacentral:lncRNA from 1 species
CAGGUAGUGCAGGAGUCAGUGGGAUGUUGAUGUUGAUAUCAGGUAGUGUUGGAGUCAGUGAGAUGUUGAUAUCAGGUAGUGUAUGAGUGAGUGGGAUGUUGAUAUCAGGUAGUGUUAGAGUCAGUGAGUUGUUGAUAUCAGGUAGUGUUGGAGUCAGUGGGAUGUUGAUAUCAGGUAGUGUAGGAGUCAGUGAGAUCUUGAUAUCAGGUAGUGUAGAAGUCAGUGAGAUGUUGAUUUCAGGUAGUGUAGGAGUCUGUGGGCUGUUGAUGUUGAUAUCAGGUAGUGUAGGAGUCAGUGCGAUACCAUGUUGAUAUCAGUUGGUGUAGGAGUCAGUGGGAUGUUGAUAUCAGGUGAUAUAGGAGUCAGUGGGAUGUUGAUAUCAGGUAGUGUAGGAGUCAGUGGGAUGUUGAUAUCAGGUAGUGUAGGAGUCAGUGAGAUGUUG